ACCCGUGAUUUUAAGCAUAUCAAUAAGCGGAGGAAAAGAAACUAACCAGGAUGCCCUUAGUAACGGCGAGCGAACCGGGCAGAGCCCAACUUGAAAAUCUCCAGCCUCCGGCUGGCGAAUUGUAGUCUAGAGAAGUGCUCUCUGCCUCAGUCCGGCCCCAAGUCCCCUGGAAAGGGGCGUCAGAGAGGGUGAGAACCCCGUUGGGACCGGUGCCUGUGGCUCCACGAGACGCUUUCGAAGAGUCGGGUUGUUUGGGAAUGCAGCCCAAAGCAGGUGGUAAAUCCCAUCUAAGGCUAAAUACAGACGGGAGACCGAUUGCGAACAAGUACCGCGAGGGAAAGAUGAAAAGAACUUUGAAAAGAGAGUUAAAAAGUGCUUGAAAUUGUUGAGAGGGAAGCGAUUGGAUCCUAUGGGUGCGCCCAGGCACACGCCUGCCUAACGGUUGGCUGAAUGCGCUGGGUGCUGGUCAGCAUGGGUUGGCCGGGCGGGACAAACCCGGGGGUUGUUACCCCGGCUAUGUCGCCUGGCCGACCGAGGAAAGAAGGGCGCUCUCUGAGUCCUCCGGGAACUGCGUCCUCAAGAUGCUGGCGGAAAGGUUCCAAUCGGCCCGUCUUGAAACACGGACCAAGG
rnacentral:rRNA from 1 species